rnacentral:rRNA from 1 species
GAUGAACGCUGGCGGCGUGCCUAACGCAUGCAAGUCGAGCGAUUUUCUUCGGAAGAGAGCGGCGGACGGGUGAGUAACGCGUGGGUAACCUGCCUCAUACACAUGAAUAACAUACCGAAAGGUAUGCUAAUACAAGAUGAUAUAAGAGAUUCGCAUGGAUUUCUUAUCAAAGCUCCGGCGGUAUGAGAUGGACCCGCGUCUGAUUAGCUAGUUGGUAAGGUAGCGGCUUACCAAGGCGGCGAUCAGUAGCCGACCUGAGAGGGUGAUCGGCCACAUUGGAACUGAGACACGGUCCAAACUCCUACGGGAGGCAGCAGUGGGGAAUAUUGCACAAUGGGCGAAAGCCUGAUGCAGCAACGCCGCGUGAGCGAUGAAGGCCUUCGGGUCGUAAAGCUCUGUCCUCAAGGAAGAUAAUGACGGUACUUGAGGAGGAAGCCCCGGCUAACUACGUGCCAGCAGCCGCCGUAACAC